rnacentral:misc_RNA from 1 species
GAAAUGCGAUAAGUAAUGUGAAUGGCAGAAUUCAGUGAAUCAUCGAAUCUUUGAACGCACCUUGCGCUCCUUGGUAUUCCUUGGAGCAUGCCUGUUUGAGUAUCAUGAAAUCUUCAAAGUAAAUCUUUUGUUAACUCAAUUGGUUUCUACUUUGGUAUUGGAGGUCUUUGCAGCUUCACACCUGCUCCUCUUUGUUCAUUAGCUGGAUCUCAGUGUUAUGCUUGGUUCCACUCGGCGUGAUAAGUUAUCUAUCGCUGAGGACACUGUAAAAGGUGGCCAAGGUAAAUGCAGAUGAACCGCUUCUAAUAGUCCAUUGACUUGGACAAUACUUUUAUGAUCUGAUCUCAAAUCAGGUAGGACUACCCGCUGAACUUAAGC